GCUAGACUUGUUGGUAUGUCUCUAAUCACUGCAACCAGAGAGACUGAGGUUGGUGGAUCACUUGAGUUCAGGAGUUCCAGGUUGUGGUAGGCUAAGCCAGUCACGGGUCUAUACUAAGUCAAGCAACAAGAGUGACAGGGGCCAGAGGCCAGCAAGCUGCCUAAGGAGGGGUGAACUAGCAAGACUGUAAAUAGAUCAUGUCAAAACUCCUGUGCUAAUCAGUGGUGGGGUAAGGCCAAUGAGUGGCUUCUGCAUUUUCAGCCUGGGAAAGAAAGAGACACCCAGUCUUU
rnacentral:SRP_RNA from 1 species